ACACCAAGUCAGAUCAUUAAAGUUCAUACAGAAAGACCUGAUUGAUUAUAGAAAUUGCCCUCUUUGCCCACAAACUGGUGAGUUAGGUGUGGCCAUUCAUUCCAUGGAUGCUUGCUUUGGUCUAACUCGCAAAAAGUUGGCAGGGAAUAGUUUUGCUGUCCCAAACCGUGGCUGCCUUAAGUUUGCUGAUCAGGAUGAAGUAGAUGAUUUUGUUGAUGAUUAUAGCAAGUCUAAUAACAAAGUAGGAGAGAAUUUCGUAUUCGCUGUUCCUAAUCCAAAGCAUUUUAAAAGAUGCUGACCAAAGUCCUGGUGUUGAUUUAAAAGUAAUGUAUGAUAUUGGAUGUGUAUUAUCAUCACAUUUAAAGGCAAACAAGAGGCAUGACAUUUUGUCAAAAGUGUCAAUUUCGGUGCCGAUAUUUCAUUGUUAUGGACACAAGGCUUCAUGCCAGGUCAAGCUCAGUCCUAGAAGGCUCGAUGGUUUUGGUCUUACAGAUGGUGAGGCUAUUGAAAGGCUCUGGGCUUACCUUCGUGGGUUCUCAGCAAUUACUAAGGAGAUGUCUGCCAGUAGAAGAGUAGAUCUUUUGACAGACGCGCUUCUUCACUUAUCUCGAAGAAAUUUUAGCAAUGCAGGAAAAUCGUUAACGUCGAAGCAAAA